rnacentral:rRNA from 1 species
AGAGUUUGAUCCUGGCUCAGGAUGAACGCUGGCGGCGUGCUUAACACAUGCAAGUCGAACGAACCUUCGGGUUAGUGGCGGACGGGUGAGUAACGCGUGAGAAUCUGCCCUCAGGAGGGGGAUAACGGUUGGAAACGACCGCUAAUACCCCAUAUGCCUAUUGGUGAAAUGAAUUUCGCCUGAGGAUGAGCUCGCGUCUGAUUAGCUAGUUGGUGAGGUAAUGGCUCACCAAGGCUUCGAUCAGUAGCUGGUCUGAGAGGAUGAUCAGCCACACUGGGACUGAGACACGGCCCAGACUCCUACGGGAGGCAGCAGUGGGGAAUUUUCCGCAAUGGGCGAAAGCCUGACGGAGCAACGCCGCGUGAGGGACGAAGGCCUCUGGGCUGUAAGCCUCUUUUCUCAAGGAAGAAGAUAUGACGGUACUUGAGGAAUAAGCCACGGCUAAUUCCGUGCCAGCAGCCGCGGUAAUACGGGAGUGGCAAGCGUUAUCCGGAAUUAUUGGGCGUAAAGCGUCCGCAGGCGGCUUUUCAAGUCUGCUGUUAAAGCGUGGAGCUUAACUCCAUCAUGGCAGUGGAAACUGAAAGGCUUGAGUAUGGUAGGGGCAGAGGGAAUUCCCGGUGUAGCGGUGAAAUGCGUAGAUAUCGGGAAGAACACCAGUGGCGAAGGCGCUCUGCUGGGCCAUUACUGACGCUCAUGGACGAAAGCCAGGGGAGCGAAAGGGAUUAGAUACCCCUGUAGUCCUGGCCGUAAACGAUGAACACUAGGUGUCGGGGGAAUCGACCCCUUCGGUGUCGUAGCUAACGCGUUAAGUGUUCCGCCUGGGGAGUACGCACGCAAGUGUGAAACUCAAAGGAAUUGACGGGGGCCCGCACAAGCGGUGGAGUAUGUGGUUUAAUUCGAUGCAACGCGAAGAACCUUACCAGGGUUUGACAUCCUGCGAACCUCUUAGAAAUUUGAGGGUGCCUUCGGGAAUGCAGUGACAGGUGGUGCAUGGCUGUCGUCAGCUCGUG